rnacentral:misc_RNA from 1 species
UAAUAAGUGUUUUAUGGCACUUUUUAAAUCCAUAUCCACCUUGUGUGCAAUGUCAGUCGAUCUUCUUCAUGGAGAUCGACCAAACAUCAACCUUUAUCUUUUAACUCUUUGUCUGAAAAAUAUUAUGAUAUAAACAAUUCAAAAUA